rnacentral:lncRNA from 1 species
GGGUCAGUUGGAAAGACAUGGGUUGGGGUCAAUGAAUCCCAAUAUUUGGGGUCACUGAAGCCAAAAUUUGGGGUCAAGAAGGCCAAAAAUGGGGGUCAGUGGGAGGGACGUGUGUUGGGGUCAAUGAGACCCAAAGUUUGGGGUCACCAGGGCCAAAACUUGGGGUCAAGAAGGCCAAAAUUUGGGGGUCAAUUGGAAAGACAUGGGUUGGAGUCAAUGAGACCCAAAGUCUGGGGUCACUGAAGCCAAAAUUUGGAGUCAAGAAGGCCAAAAUUUGGGGGUCAGUGGGAGGGACACGGGUUGGGGUCAAUGAAGCCGAAGUUUGGUGCCAACCAAGCCCAGAAACUGGAGGUCACCAAGAACCAAAUUUGGGGGUGAACGAGGUGCUGAUCUGAGCUGAAACGAGCCCGUUUUUGGACUCAAGAACGCCAGAAGUUGGGCCGGGGCGAAAAAAAUCCCACGUUGAGAAAAAAAACAAAGCCCAAGCCAUCAGGAAAAGAAACCAGCACCGGGUGUAACGAAAACGAAUAACGCAGCGCUCGACGCCUUGUCGGGCACAACGAAGCCAUCCUGCCUAAACCUGGUGGGAAGCGGGUGAAAAUU